rnacentral:ncRNA from 1 species
UUAAAAGCAAUGAGGAAGAGGAGUAAAUUAAAUUUGUUUUGUAGAGAGUUCUUGUUUGGUGAAAAAGAAUAAAUAAAUUAAUUGAAGGUAGCUUCUAUAGUUAAUAUCUAAAUAAAAAGGAUAUUACGCGUAAAUGCGUUAAAGUUAUGAGGUAAUGUUAUAUUACAAAAUAAGGUGGUACCACGAGAUUUCGUCCUUUGG